rnacentral:piRNA from 1 species
CCACUCAUUUGUUCAGUUCACAGAAACUUGC